GGAUUGUGGCUCAGUGGUAGAGCACUUGCCUGGCAUGUGUGAGGGACUGGGUUCAAAUCUCAGCACCA
rnacentral:tRNA from 1 species